rnacentral:tRNA from 1 species
GCGGCAGUGGCGGAAUCGGUAGACGCGCCAGCUUGAGGGGCUGGUGGGGGCAACCCCGUGUAGGUUCAAGUCCUAUCUGCCGCA